AUUGAACGCUGGCGGCAGGCUUAACACAUGCAAGUCGAGCGGGGUGAUGGUGCUUGCACUAUCACUUAGCGGCGGACGGGUGAGUAAUGCUUAGGAAUCUGCCUAUUAGUGGGGGACAACAUCUCGAAAGGGAUGCUAAUACCGCAUACGUCCUACGGGAGAAAGCAGGGGAUCACUUGUGACCUUGAGCUAAUAGAUGAGCCUAGGUCGGAUUAGCUAGUUGGUGGGGUAAAGGCCAACCAAGGCGACGAUCUGUAGCGGGUCUGAGAGGAUGAUCCGCCACACUGGGACUGAGACACGGCCCAGACUCCUACGGGAGGCAGCAGUGGGGAAUAUUGGACAAUGGGGGGAACCCUGAUCCAGCCAUGCCGCGUGUGUGAAGAAGGCCUUAUGGCUGUAAAGCACUUUAAGCGAGGAGGAGGCUCUUUUGGUUAAUACCCAAGAUGAGUGGACGUUACUCGCAGAAUAAGCACCGGCUAACUCUGUGCCAGCCGCCGCCGUAA
rnacentral:rRNA from 1 species